AGCCAGCCAGGCCAACGGGAUGCCACUCCUGAAAGCAGUCAUCUUCUCCUGCCUCUGGGCCUUUGGCCUUGGGCAGGUGAAAUUGGAGCAACCUGAAAUAUCAAUUUCCAGAGCAAGAGAUAAGAGUGCCCACAUAUCAUGCAAGGUGUCUGCUAAGGACUUUAAUGAUGAAGUAAUACACUGGUACCGGCAGAAACCAGAUCAGGAGAUAGAACAUCUAACAUAUAUCCAGGAAAGCUCUGUUCAAGUUUCUUUAGGUGGGAAGAAAAACAAACUUGAAGCAAGUAAAAAUACUCAUACUUCCACUGCAACCUUGAAUGUAAAUUUCUUAAAGCAAGAAGACGAGGCCAUGUACUACUGUGCCUGCUGGAUAGAUCCACAGUGUCAGCGUUACCAAGAGAAGCUGCACAAGAACCAUCUUCAGGUCUGA